GACGAACGCUGGCGGCGUGCUUAACACAUGCAAGUCGAACGGAAAGGCCCUGCUUUUGUGGGGUGCUCGAGUGGCGAACGGGUGAGUAACACGUGAGUAACCUGCCCUUGACUUUGGGAUAACUUCAGGAAACUGGGGCUCAUACCGGAUAGGAGCUCCUGCUGCAUGGUGGGGGUUGGAAAGUUUCGGCGGUUGGGGAUGGACUCGCGGCUUAUGAGCUUGUUGGUGGGGUAGUGGCUUACCAAGGCUUUGACGGGUAGCCGGCCUGAGAGGGUGAACGGCCACAUUGGGACUGAGAUACGGACCAGACUCCUACGGGCGGCAGCAGUGGGGAAUAUUGCACAAUGGGCGGAAGUCUGAUGCAGCAACGCCGCGUGCGGGAUGACGGCCUUCGGGUUGUAAACCGCUUUCGCCUGUGACGAAGCGUGAGUGACGGUAAUGGGUAAAGAAGCACCGGCUAACUACGUG
rnacentral:rRNA from 1 species